CCCCCUCAUCACCAGCGAUCCAAUCAAGACAAAGAGAAGUAUGACAGCCAUUCUGAGUGAGUACAUGCAAAUCAUCAACAGGGGUAGGAAUAGACUGUUUUUCUAAAAGGUUGUGUCUAGCUUGUUCAAGUUCUUUAACAACAUCAAUAAUAGCAAAAUCAUUAUCAGGUAAACAAUUUCCCAUAGAAACAGCUCUAACCAU
rnacentral:lncRNA from 1 species